rnacentral:rRNA from 1 species
UACAGAGGGGCAAGCGUUGUUCGGAAUUACUGGGCGUAAAGGGCGCGUAGGCGGCCCGCUAAGUCGAACGUGAAAUCCCCGAGCUCAACUCGGGAACUGCGUCCGAUACUGGCGGGGCUUGAAUCCGGGAGAGGGAUGCGGAAUUCCUGGUGUAGCGGUGAAAUGCGCAGAGUAUCAGGAGGAACACCGGUGGCGAAGGCGGGUCUCUGGGCCGAUACUGACGCUGAGGAGCGAAAGCGUGGGGGAGCAAACAGG